UGGGGAAUAUUGCACAAUGGGCGAAAGCCUGAUGUAGCGACGCCGCGUGAGGGAUGACGGCCUUCGGGUUGUAAACCUCUUUCAGCAGGGAAGAAGCCACAAGUGACGGUACCUGCAGAAGAAGCGCCGGCUAACUACGUGCCAGCAGCCGCGGUAAUACGUAGGGCGCAAGCGUUGUCCGGAAUUAUUGGGCGUAAAGAGCUCGUAGGCGGUUUGUCGCGUCUGCUGUGAAAGCCCGGGGCUUAACCCCGGGUGUGCAGUGGGUACGGGCAGACUAGAGUGCAGUAGGGGAGACUGGAAUUCCUGGUGUAGCGGUGGAAUGCGCAGAUAUCAGGAGGAACACCGAUGGCGAAGGCAGGUCUCUGGGCUGUUACUGACGCUGAGGAGCGAAAGCAUGGGGAGCGAACA
rnacentral:rRNA from 1 species